CCUACGGGGGGCUGCAGUGGGGAAUAUUGCGCAAUGGGGGAAACCCUGACGCAGCGACGCCGCGUGAGCGAUGAAGGCCUUCGGGUUGUAAAGCUCUGUCUUCCCUGACGAUAAUGACGGUAAGGGAGGAGGAAGCCACGGCUAACUACGUGCCAGCAGCCGCGGUAAUACGUAGGUGGCAAGCGUUGUCCGGAAUUAUUGGGCGUAAAGGGUGCGUAGGCGGCUCUUUAAGUGGGAUGUGAAAUCCCUAGGCUCAACCUAGGAACUGCAUUCCAAACUGGAGAGCUAGAGUGCAGGAGAGGAAAGCGGAAUUCCCAGUGUAGCGGUGAAAUGCGUAGAGAUUGGGAGGAACACCAGUGGCGAAGGCGGCUUUCUGGACUGUAACUGACGCUGAGGCACGAAAGCGUGGGGAGCAAACAGGAUUAGAUACCCCUGUAGUC
rnacentral:rRNA from 1 species